GCCUGGGUGGCUCAGUCGUUUGAGUGUCUGAUUUUGGUUCAGGUCAUGAUCUCACAGUUCGUGGGUUCAAGCCCUGCGUCGGGCU
rnacentral:tRNA from 1 species